ensembl:lncRNA
CAUGAGUUAUUGUGUAUUCAAUCAGACCACAAUCUUUUAACCAAGUGGCAAAAUAUUUGCUCUUAUUUUAUUCUCUUUAGGAAAAGCAGUAAAUAUUUUUAAUGAUAUGACAACAACAACAACAGCAUUUUUGUGACCUGUCAGGUAUAAUAAUUAACUUCAUGCAUAGCAUAGAUUCAGAGAUCUUAAUAGGUAUGUUAUUCAAAACAAGCACCCAGGAAAUAAUGGUAAAGCAUCCAGUGCACAUGCAUUUACACUUUGCCUUGAGUGUAAAUGCAUGUAAACUGCAGCAAUUCAUCUCUCGUUUUCAUUAUUCAAGUAUUAUUUCUAUACAGUUAAUAUACAGUGACAAGCUCACUGCACAGGAGUAUUUAAAAAAGAAUUCAAUAUGCUGAACUUGCCAGCUGUGAAGCUUUGUUUAUUUGCAGUAUUCCUGAAAUUAUUUUUGUUAAAUAUAUGGAAAAAGCUAGAAAUUCUUAUUGUAAAAAGAAAGAAAAUUACAGUAUUUGACGUGUUUUUUUAAUGUUAUCACAUGUCAUUAAAGACAGUUGGUCAGCCUCAUUAAAGUCAACAUUUAAAGAUGGAUAAUUUAGAUAAGGUAAAGAAAAAAACAGAUAAUAAUAAAGUAAGACAAUGAGUACUUACAGUUUUUGCCCGUUGCUUGAACACUAUAAACCCAUGCUUAGACUAAAGUAACACAACUUGAAGCUUUUGUUACCAUACCUCAAACACAUGUACCCAUACCUUAAACAAAAGCGCUCCUUUGCACCCUAGUUGCAAUUAUGCAACACACUUACUCCUUUAUGCAACACACAUGGUCCUGCAUACUACACUCCAUUUCAUACAUAAGACACUUUGUUCACAAAAUUAAAUUUCAGGGUGCCAUUUGGAAAACACAUGUAUCCAAAAUACAAAACACAUCGGGUAAUUGCAACCACUCAAAUACACACCUGAAGGACCUUACUUGCAAAACUGAACACCAAUUAGCCAACUACAAAAAGCCCUCAGUUUAGCCAAUUCAAGAACUUUGCAAGCAUGGAGCAAGAGGAAGAGGAGGAGGAGGAGGUCGAAGAGGCCAUGCACAGACCCAUAUUGCUGAUGAUAUAAGAGCAACUUUGGUGUCAUCAACCAGGGCCUGACUAUGAGGGAAGCUGGGCAGAGAGUCCACCCACAUCUAAGCCGCUUCACAGUGGCAUCUGUAAUAAGAACAUUCCGAAAACAGAAUGACUCGAAGACCUUCUGGGGGAGGACGCCAACGCAUGUUCACACAACAGCAGGAACUUGCUGUUGAGGACCUAGUGAGGGCAGACAAUGCCAUCCGUCUCCACCAGCUACGAAAGCAAAUACUUGCAGACAGGCAAGUGUUCAACAACAUAAACCAUAAAACACAGCAUCACCAUGAAGCAGCUCUACAGAGUCCCAUUUGAGAGGAACAGUGACAGGGUCAAAGGACUUCGAGCUGAAUAUGUACGGAGAAUCUUGGCCAUGGAUGGAGCUGCACAGCCUCAUGAAUUCAUUUUCAUUGAUGAAGCUGGAUUUGACCUGUGCAGAACAAGAUGACGGGGUCGUACUGUAAUUGGCCAAAGGGCAAUUGGGGUAGCGCGGGGGAAAUAUCACAUUGUGUGCCGCCAUAAGCCUUCGAGGGCUUCUGCAUCAUCAUACAAAACUAGGUCCAUACAAUAGCCAACAUAUACUCACAUUUCUAAAUGCUCUCCAUGAUAUAGUUGUACAGAACAGAGCAGAUCAGCCCAUGUUUGUAGUGAUAUGGGAUAAUGUCAGUUUCCAUCGGGCUGCUCUGGUCCAGGCCUGGUUCUCCAACCACAACCAACUUGAAGUGGUAUACUUGCCCCCUUACUCACCAUUUUUAAACCCUAUAGAGGAAUUUUUUUUGGCUUGGAGAUGGCGUGUAUAUGACCGCCAACCACAUGCCCGCAUGCCUCUUCUGCAGGCAAUGGAACAGGCCUGCGGCGACAUUCAGGUGACAGCAAUCCAUGGAUGGUUUCGACAUGCAAGAGGAUAUUUUCCCCGGUGCCUAGCAGGAGAAGACAUUGCUUGCGAUGUCGAUGAGGUCCUGUGGCCAGACCCCAAAAGACGGCGGGAUCCAUGAGCCCACGUAUGCACAAUUGUCAUGAUUUUUUGUGUUCACAGUAUGGUGUUUUUUCUAUUACUGUAUUGUGUUUGUUUGUUUGUUUUUGCUUUAUCUGAAUUCAUGGUACUGCAAUGUACAGUGCUGCAAUGUACAAUAUUGAGUCCUAUUGGCUUUUUUGGUUGUUUGAAAAUGUGUCUCCUGAAAAUAUGCCUUCUGAAUAAACAAUGAACAUCAAA